rnacentral:rRNA from 1 species
UACAGAGGGUGCAAGCGUUAAUCGGAAUUACUGGGCGUAAAGCGCGCGUAGGCGGCUGUCUAAGUCGGGUGUGAAAGCCCCCGGGCUCAACCUGGGAACUGCAUUCGAUACUGGACGGCUAGAGUAUGAGAGAGGGAGGUAGAAUUCCACGUGUAGCGGUGAAAUGCGUAGAUAUGUGGAGGAAUACCGGUGGCGAAGGCGACAUCCUGGACCGGUAUUGACGCUGAGGCGCGAAAGCCAGGGGAGCAAACGGG